GUCGCUUCUCGGCCUUUUGGCUAAGAUCAAGUGUAGUAUCUGUUCUUAUCAGUUUAAAAAUGCGAGCUAAUAAACACCAAAGAAUAGCAGAAAUAGAAAAUCCUACUUUAC
rnacentral:snRNA from 1 species